rnacentral:hammerhead_ribozyme from 1 species
AUCAAGCUGACGAGUCUCAAAUAGGACGAAACGCGUGUCCUGAAU